UCCCGGGUGGCUCAAUGGGUUAAGGGCUCAGUGUUGUCACUGUUGUGGCUCCAGUUACUGCUGUGGUGCAGGUUCGAUCCCUGGCCCGGGAA
rnacentral:tRNA from 1 species